rnacentral:rRNA from 1 species
UACGUAGGGACCAAGCGUUGUUCGGAUUUAUUGGGCGUAAAGCGUCCGCAGGUGGCUAUUCAAGUCUGCUGUCAAAGCUCGGAGCUUAACUCCGAAUCGGCGGUGGAAACUGAACAGCUAGAGUGCAGUAGGGGUAGAGGGAAUUCCCAGUGUAGCGGUGAAAUGCGUAGAGAUUGGGAAGAACACCGGUGGCGAAAGCGCUCUACUGGACUGCAACUGACACUCAGGGACGAAAGCUAGGGGAGCGAAUGGG